UUAUUGUUCUUUCUUGUUUGUCGGUAUUGUUCCCUCUCGGUAUACGAUGGUUCUGACGAAGUGAUCGUUGACACUGAUGAAGUCUCAUGGCUAUCUUCAGACGUGUCAGGCAAGCAAACCCCCCUUGAGCAUACUGAUAUAAACCCACUCUCUUGCUCCUGAUCUCUUUUAUUGCAUUCGGACAAACACGAUUCAACUGUUACAUGUUCUCGG
rnacentral:lncRNA from 1 species